rnacentral:ncRNA from 2 species
CUAUCCUCCUACAGUUCAGGUGUUCGCGAGAACGCAAGAGGGAACCCCGCGCGAAUCGGGGACGGGCCCGCCGCUGUGACCGAGGACGAACGCUGCACCAUGUCACUGACCAAGAGGUUGGGAAGACGCAGCCAGUAGGAUGAUCCGGGAGUCAGAAGACCUGCCUGAAUGGUUGUUUGGAG